GAUGAACGCUGGCGGCGUGCUUAAUACAUGCAAGUCGAACGGACAGGCGAUGCUUUUGCGCGGCGCUCGUGUGGCGAACGGGUGUGUAUAACGCGUGUAACACGUACCUGUCUUUGGGAUAUCACUUGGAAAAUCGGGCUCUAAUCGGAUAGGAGCUCUUGCUGCAUGGUGGGGGUUGGUAAGUUUCGGCGGUUGGGGAUGGACUAGCGGCUUACCCGCUUCUUGGUGGAGUAGUGGCUUACCAAGGCUUCGACGGAUAGCCGGCCUGAGAGGUGGACCGGCCACAAUGCGACUGAGGUACGGCGCAGACGCCUACGGGAGGCAGCAGGCGAGAGUAUUACGCAGUGGGCGGAAGCCUGAUACGGCAGCGCCGCGAGCGUGAUGACGGCCUUCGAGGGAUAAACCGCUGUGUCCUGUGACGAGGCGGGAGUGACGGUAAUGAAUAAGGAAGCACCGGCUAACUACGUG
rnacentral:rRNA from 1 species